UUCUUCCCCUGUGAUGAAAAAGUCUAAAAAUGCGAAUGCAAAGAAGCAAAAUUUAUGCAGAAUUUUUGUUUUUGAAAAUUUUUCUGCAGGAAAUAAUUUACUAAUAACAGUGUUAAGCGUAAAACCAAACUGAAUCCUCCGACUCCAUUGCUCCUUCUCUCUGGGUCUCCUCUUUCUCUUCCAAGAAGAGGAAGACUCAAGACUAAAACAUCCCAUUCGAGAGAUCUCCUCGCAAUGCCAUUAAAACCUCUGAACGCCUUCAUCGUCGCUUUCAUGCUGUUCCUCACAUUCUUGAUCCUCUUUCUUUCCGGCUUCCUCGAAUUCCCAUCUCUCCCCACCUCAAUCUCCGCCGCCAUAGACCCUGAUUCGAGGUUUUCAACCGAAUCGACACCUGAUCCCUUUACUGACCUUUUAGGCGCCUUCAAGAAAUGGGACUCUCAGGUGGGUUGCGAGCAGUUCAGGGAAAAACACAAGGAUUUGAUAGCGGGUUCUGGGUCUAACAGGUCGGAUUCUCUGCAAGAAGAUGGAGAUGAUAAUUCAAAUUGCAGUCAGUUGAAGAUGGGGCAUGUUAGUGUGUUGGUCAAACGGUGGACUUGGAUUCCUGAUAAUUUGGAUAAUUUGUAUUCCUGUCGAUGUGGGUUGAGCUGUUUGUGGACCAAGUCGUCUGUUCUUUCUGAUAAGCCUGAUGCUUUGUUGUUUGAAUCGGCUACGCCUCCACUUCAGAGACUCAGUGGAGACCCGCUACGUGUAUAUAUGGAUCUUGAGGCUGGAAGGAAACGGUCAGGUCAUGAAGAUAUAUUCAUUAGCUACCAUGCCAAAGAUGAUGUUCAAUCCACUUAUGCUGGUGCACUUUUUCAUAAUGGUCGAAAUUAUCAUGUGUCUUCAUACAAGAACAAUGAUGCCCUUGUUUAUUGGUCUUCAUCCCGCUGUCUUCCUCAAAGGGAUCAACUUGCCAAAAGUAUCCUCAGUUUCUUGCCCCACCAUUCAUUUGGCAAGUGCUUAAACAACGUUGGUGGCUUAGAUAGGGCUAUUUCUCUAUAUCCUGAAUGUGCCAAUGAUGCUAGUCUGGCUCCAAAAUGGUGGGAUCAUCUACAUUGUGCAAUGUCUCAUUACAAGUUUGCCCUAGCAAUUGAAAACACAAUGACAGAGAGUUAUGUGACGGAGAAGCUAUUUUAUGCUCUGGACUCUGGUGCAGUUCCCAUCUAUUUUGGUGCUCCGAAUGUCUGGAAUUUCGUCCCUCCACAUUCAAUAAUAGACGGAACUAAAUUUAGUUCCAUGGAAGAAUUGGCUUCUUUUGUGAAGAAGCUUGCUAAUGACCCUGUGCUAUAUGCCGAGUACCACGCAUGGAGAAGAUGUGGUGUUCUGGGUAACUACCGGAAGACCCGUGCAGCAAGUCUCGACACCUUACCUUGCCGGUUGUGUGAGGCAGUUAGUAGAAUGGGAGGAAGAAAGAGAAGAGCAUCAUGAAGGUGAACUGGUUGGUAUAUUAGUUGCUUGUUCUGGCCAUAUAUUUUCCGCUAAUUACAGUGAAGUUGUUAGAUGCACAGUAGCUAGGAUUACAAAUACAAAGAAAGGAAGAGAAAACACUUUAUACUGAUGAUCUUGUAGAGCUCUGAUCUUCAUUGUCAUCUUUGUGGAAUUUCCAGACAGAAGCCAUUAUUCCAGUUGAAGUUGUAGGGUUGGACUUUGCAGCUUUCUGCACCUGCAUAAUUUUCAUUCCCAUUAAUUUUUUAAAGCUACAAGUUUACUAAAGAAAUAUACUACCUUGAUUAAAUA